rnacentral:rRNA from 1 species
GCAUCAGCGGGAGCGGUGGGGGCGGUAAGACGGGGGUGUGAAGCUGUAAGCGGAAGUACUGGGCGGAAAGCGCACGCAGGCGGUUGGAUAAGUUAGAGGUGAAAGCCCCGUGCUCAACCUGGGAAUUGCAUUUAAAACUGUCCAGCUAGAGUCUUGUAGAGGGGGGUAGAAUUCCAGGAGUAGCGGUGAAAUGCGUAGAGAUCUGGAGGAAUACCGGUGGCGAAGGCGACCCCCUGGACAAAGACUGACGCUCAGGUGCGAAAGCGUGGGGAGCAAACAGGAUUAGAUACCCUGGUAGUC